rnacentral:rRNA from 1 species
AGUGAACGCUGGCGGCAGGCCUAACACAUGCAAGUCGAACGGCAGCACGGCAGUAGCAAUACUGUGGGUGGCGAGUGGCGGACGGGUGAGGAAUACAUCGGGAUCUACCCUGUUGUGGGGGAUAACGUAGGGAAACUUACGCUAAUACCGCAUAAGAACUGAGGUUGAAAGCGGCGGACCGCAAGGCGUCGCGCGAUUGGAUGAACCGAUGUCCGAUUAGCUAGUUGGCGGGGUAAAGGCCCACCAAGGCGACGAUCGGUAGCUGGUCUGAGAGGACGACCAGCCACACUGGAACUGAGACACGGUCCAGACUCCUACGGGAGGCAGCAGUGGGGAAUAUUGGACAAUGGGCGCAAGCCUGAUCCAGCCAUGCCGCGUGGGUGAAGAAGGCC